rnacentral:misc_RNA from 1 species
GUGACAAAAAUGAUUCAUUUCUUAUGACAUUAGGAAAAUAAAAACUAUUGCUUAUAAAUACGAUCUCCAUUCAAUAUUCUCAAAAUUUUUCCCCUUAAAAUGUAUUGGAUUUCUCCUACUCAAAUACUUUAUUGAACUCAAUCCGCAUUAUGAUUAUCAGUUUACCAUUAGAACAGUGAAGAAGCAGCUGAUGAAAAAAAUAGAGAAACAAA